UCCCCGUUGCCGGGGCAGUCUGGCUAGAAAAAUACAACUAACCAUAAGGGUUGCGCUCGUUGAUGGACUUAACCAAACAUCUCACGACACGAGCUGACGACGGCCAUGCAACACCUGUCAUUGGGUUCCCGAAGGCACUCACGUCUUUCGACAUAAUUCCCAAGAUGUCAAGUCUGGGUAAGGUUCUUCGCUUACCAUCGAAUUAAACAACACGCUCCACCGCUUGUGCGGGUCCCCGUCAAUUCCUUUGAGUUUUAAACUUGCGUUCGUACUCCCCAGGCGGGAUGCUUAACGCGUUAGCUUCGCUACUAACCGGGUCGAUACGGCUAACAGCUAGCAUCCAUAGUUUACGGCGUGGACUA
rnacentral:misc_RNA from 1 species